GUCAGAUGACAGAUUGUUGCAACCAGUGUUUUAGCUUGCACCUGUAUUUAAUUAGUCUGGAUACCAUGAAGCUGUGCAGAGGAGCUGGUUGUUCCGAAGAAAACAGCUUUGGAAAGUCACUGUGAAAUCUGUAUGAUAAGCUACUCUGAGGCCCUGCCAGAACCGAGGGACUAGGAACCUGAGGGAGUGGAUGCUCAACCUAUGUGGGAGAAAGAAAAGAAUAAAGGAUGAAAUGCAGCAGGACAUUCUGUGUUCAGUCCCCAUCACAUUACCAGUUCAUGGAACAGUGAAAUGUACCCAGAACUACAGUCUGCUCCUGUGCAACCAAGUCCCAUAUGUGCAAAAUGCUCCAGAAAGGACAGGAAUCAUUUCUGUGAUGAGAAACCUGAGCCCUUGGAGAAAUGCAAAACUGCCAGAAGAGACUCAUCGAUUCACAACAGCUCUCCAAGCAACUGGAAGUGAUGCAGCAACACUGUCGAGAGAGAC